GGAGGAUGAGCAUCAGUUCCAGGCAUAAUUGAUUGGUUCUCCUCUAUUGUUGUGCCAAUGCUGCUUCCUACAGAAGUGUUCUUCGCUACUCACACACACAUGCCUUGAUAGAGAAAGGGAACUCAUCAGCUAACUCAACUCAACUAAACUUUUAUACCAAAAAUUUAUUGGGGUCAACUAUAUGAAUUCUCUUUCUCCACU
rnacentral:misc_RNA from 1 species